rnacentral:rRNA from 1 species
GACGAACGCUGGCGGCGCGCUUAACACAUGCAAGUCGAGCGAGAACCAGGGCUUCGGCCCUGGGGACAGCGGCGAACGGGUGAGUAACACGUGGAUAACCUGCCCUCGGCACCGGGAUAGCCCGGGGAAACUCGGAUUAAUACCGGAUAGCCCUUCCGACUCUCGAGUCGGUCCGAAAAGGUAGCUUCGGCCUCUGGCCGAGGAUGGGUCCGCGGCGGAUUAGCUUGUUGGUGGGGUAACGGCCUACCAAGGCUCCGAUCCGUAGCUGGUCUGAGAGGACGAUCAGCCACACUGGGACUGAGACACGGCCCAGACUCCUACGGGAGGCAGCAGUGGGGAAUAUUGCGCAAUGGGCGAAAGCCUGACGCAGCGACGCCGCGUGUGGGAUGACGGCCU